CGUAAAGCGCACGCAGGCGGUCUGUCAAGUCGGAUGUGAAAUCCCCGGGCUCAACCUGGGAACUGCAUUCGAAACUGACAGGCUAGAGUCUUGUAGAGGGGGGUAGAAUUCCAGGUGUAGCGGUGAAAUGCGUAGAGAUCUGGAGGAAUACCGGUGGCGAAGGCGGCCCCCUGGACAAAGACUGACGCUCAGGUGCGAAAGCGUGGGGAGCAAACAGGAUUAGAUACCCUGGUAGUCCACGCUGUAAACGAUGUCGACUUGGAGGUUGUGCCCUUGAGGCGUGGCUUCCGGAGCUAACGCGUUAAGUCGACCGCC
rnacentral:rRNA from 1 species